rnacentral:rRNA from 1 species
GUGUCAGCAGCCGCGGUAAUACGGAGGAGGCAAGCGUUAUCCGGAAUUAUUGGGCGUAAAGCGUCCGUAGGUGGUUUAGUAAGUCUGCUGUUAAAGCGCGGGGCUUAACUCCGUAUCGGCAGUGGAAACUACUAGACUAGAGUGUGGUAGGGGUAGAGGGAAUUCCCAGUGUAGCGGUGAAAUGCGUAGAUAUUGGGAAGAACACCGGUGGCGAAGGCGCUCUACUGGGCCAUAACUGACACUGAUGGACGAAAGCUAGGGGAGCGAAAGGGAUUAGAUACCCUCGUAGUCC